rnacentral:ncRNA from 1 species
GUUUUAUUCUUGCUUGUUUACUUAUUUUAAUCUAAUGUUAUAUGUAAGGUUUUAUAUUUAAAAAUUAAUUUCUUAAUGAUUUAAUUUUAAUAGUUAUUGCAGUAAUAAAUAUUAAACAAUGAAGGAGAUUUUGAUUUAGUUAUUUUUUGUAAUGUUGAUUAAAUAUGUGCCAGCAGUCGCGGUUAUACAGAGGACAUAAAUAAGUAUAUUUAGUUAAAAUAGUUAAUUUAUUUAUAUAUUUUAAUUUAAUAAUUUUUGGGUAAAAUCUAAAUUUUUAUUUAAAUUUAAGGAUAAGUUUGAUGAGGCUGUGAAAUCCAGAUAUUUAAACUAGGAUUAGAUACCCUAUUAUUUUGGAUUUAAAAUUUAAAGCUUGAGUAGUAUUAGGUAUGGUCUUGAAACUUAAAGAAUUUGGCGGCAUUUUAGUCUAGUUAGAGGAAUCUGUCCCAUUAUCGAUAAUCCACGUUGAACCUUACUUAAUAUAAUUUAAUAUGUAUACCGCCGUUUGUUAUGAAGAUCUUUUUAGAGAUAAUUUUCUUAAAAUUCUAAUUAAUUUUAUUUCAGGUCAAGGUGCAGUUUAUAAUUAAGUGGUGAUGGAUUACAUUAUUUAUAAAAUAAAUGGAUUAAAGUUUGAAAUUAUUUUAUGAAGGUGGAUUUAAUAGUAAUUAAUAAUAAGAAUUAUUUUUAUGAUUUUGGCUCUAAAAUGUGUACACAUCGCCCGUCACUCUCGUUAUUAAGAUGAGAUAAGUCGUAACAAAGUAGGUGUACCGGAAGGUGUAGCUAGAUUAAU